UGCGACUGGUGACGAAGAGCACACCACCUUGCGUAUAAACGUCAUAUCGUUCGCUGCCCUGCACCUCACUGGUCACGGUUCGCGGAAGGUGACUCACACCCUCUGCACGGAGUUGUUCCGUGAAGUAUUCCUGAAAAGAAUUGGUAUCGUUACAAGAGCACCUUAUACGUUUUAAGAUCAUGGAUAAAACCCCUGAAGAGGUUGAGUUUGUGGCCAAACAGGAAUAUAGGAGUCAGCAGUGGACCAUACCUCGUUUCCUCUACCUUCACAGAGACUGACUGCCUCAUCUUUUGAUGCCGCAGUGAUUGACACAUGCAAAGCCUAGCGGAGCAAGGGGUAAUCACACGUGGUCCAGUGUACACCGUGGGAGUGUCAGAGAGAGAGUGUUCCUGGCAUGGGUGUGUCUUUGAUUUAUGACAUGACAGGCUUAUAGGUAAUUAAGCAUGAUCAAAAAACACCCUGAAAUAAAUUAAAGUAAAUAGUUGUUCUAUUCCUGCCAUCUGCAUCACACAUACAUGAU